rnacentral:rRNA from 1 species
UAGGGAAUCUUCCGCAAUGGACGCAAGUCUGACGGAGCAACGCCGCGUGAGUGAAGAAGGAUUUCGGUUCGUAAAACUCUGUUGUUAGAGAAGAACAGCGCAUAGAGUAACUGUUAUGCGUGUGACGGUAUCUAACCAGAAAGCCACGGCUAACUACGUGCCAGCAGCCGCGGUAAUACGUAGGUGGCAAGCGUUGUCCGGAUUUAUUGGGCGUAAAGCGAGCGCAGGCGGUCAAUUAAGUCUGAUGUGAAAGCCCCCGGCUCAACCGGGGAGGGGCAUUGGAAACUGGUUGACUGGAGUGCAGAAGAGGAGAGUGGAAUUCCAUGUGUAGCGGUGAAAUGCGUAGAUAUAUGGAGGAACAACAGUGGCGAAGGCGGCUCUCUGGUCUGUAACUGACGCUGAGGUUCGAAAGCGUGGGUAGCAAACAGG